UACGAAGGGGGCUAGCGUUGCUCGGAAUCACCGGGCGUAAAGCGCACGUAGGCGGCUUGUUAAGUCAGGGGUGAAAUCCUGGAGCUCAACUCCAGAACUGCCUUUGAUACUGGCGAGCUUGAGUUCGGGAGAGGUGAGUGGAACUGCGAGUGUAGAGGUGAAAUUCGUAGAUAUUCGCAAGAACACCAGUGGCGAAGGCGGCUCACUGGCCCGAUACUGACGCUGAGGUGCGAAAGCGUGGGGAGCAAACAGG
rnacentral:rRNA from 1 species